AUGUCGAAGCGGCGCAGGUCCGACGACGAGGGCGGCCCAAGGUCCAGGCGGUCACACGGCCGGCGGCAUCAUCUGUACAUCGUGGUGGACGACUGGACCAAGGGCUACAGCAUAUACAAGGUGGACGUCGCCGACUUCGACGGCGAAUCUGGCACCGACUUGGACUCGCAGGCGAGCCGCCUCCCCGGACCGCCGGUCUUUCUCCUGGAGUUCCCCCACGACUGUUCCUCGCGCUUCGCCGCCAUCGGCGGCAGAAUCGUUGCCAUGCGCUACAACGACGGGGAGAACGCCGCCCCCGUCCUCCUGUACGACACGGCAACGGGAGGCCUCGCCCUUGGCCCGCGCACCCCCGUACAAGUACGGUACGUCUCCCAGCUCGUGCCCGCCGGCGGCAGGCUGUACGUCAUGGGCGCUAGCGGGCUGUACAAGGGCGAGGAUUACCUUGAGGUGCUCGCCGCCGACGAGAAAUGGGGCUGGGCCUGGAACGCCGUGCCCAUGCCGCCGUUCACCAUCAGCCAACUCACAUGCCACGCCGCGCACCCGGACGGCCGCACGGUAUUCUUCUCCGCCUCCCAUGACGGCACCUACUCGUUGGACACCGAGACUUCCGAGUGGAAGCGCCACGGCGACUGGAUGCUGCCUUUCCAAGGGCAGGCCUACUACGACGGCCAGGUGGAUGCAUGGGUGGGUCUCCACCGAGACUCCGCCGACCCAGGUGUCGUAUGCUCCUGUGACGUCGUGUCCGCCGGUGACGACGACGAAGGACUGCCGCCCCCGGCAUGGAAGCUCGCCAAGGAGAAGAUGGUGUGCGAGGACAUGGAGAGGACCAAGACCGUCACGCUCACGCGCAUGGGCCGCGGCAGGUUCUGCCUCGUCGAGCAUCGGUCGCGGAAAGGCGUGCCCUCGGACGUCCUUGACUCGCGCUACGCGACCACGUUUAAGCUCCGGUACGACAAGAACGGAGGUCUGCGGGCAACGGCGUGCCGGACUCGCUCCUACACGGUACCUAGGCAAUCGAAUGGCCUCAACUGGUGGCUGUUCGGGAUCUGA
rnacentral:rRNA from 1 species